GACGAACGCUGGCGGCGUGCCUAAUACAUGCAAGUAGAACGCUGAAGCUUGGUGCUUGCACCGAGCGGAUGAGUUGCGAACGGGUGAGUAACGCGUAGGUAACCUGCCUGGUAGCGGGGGAUAACUAUUGGAAACGAUAGCUAAUACCGCAUAAGAGUAGAUGUUGCAUGACAUUUGCUUAAAAGGUGCAAUUGCAUCACUACCAGAUGGACCUGCGUUGUAUUAGCUAGUUGGUGAGGUAACGGCUCACCAAGGCAACGAUACAUAGCCGACCUGAGAGGGUGAUCGGCCACACUGGGACUGAGACACGGCCCAGACUCCUACGGGAGGCAGCAGUAGGGAAUCUUCGGCAAUGGACGGAAGUCUGACCGAGCAACGCCGCGUGAGUGAAGAAGGUUGUCGGAUCGUAAAGCUCUGUUGUAAGAGAAGAACGAGUGUGAGAGUGGAAAGUUCACACUGUGACGGUAUCUUACCAGAAAGGGACGGCUAACUACGUG
rnacentral:rRNA from 1 species